rnacentral:tRNA from 1 species
AGUUAAUGAGCUUGAUUUAAGCAUAUGUUUUGAAAACAUAAUAUAGAAAUUAAAAUUUUCUAUUAACUU